AAUAGAACCAGAUUGCUUUUAAUCGGCAAGGAGGGGCAGCAGUCAGGUUUGAGGCCAGACUGUUGCACCAGAGUCUUGGGGUUUUCAGAAUAUAUAGGGGAGUUUAGAAGGUCUGUUUUUUGUCCAGGUUAUUUUUCUCAGUUACAGUUUAGCGAGUGUGGUCAGUUGACUGGGGAGUGAUCGUGUGUCCAGCGCCGUUAGGAACUGUUCGUGCCUGGAGUCAGCAGAAGUUGUUCUCAGUACCUCCUCCUGGGCGACCGGGGCUUCCCUUCAGAGUACAUUAUGCUAAGUGAAAUCAGCCAGUCAAAAAAAAAAAACACCUGUAUGAUUCCACUUACAUGAGGUACCUAGAGUAGUCAAACUCAGAGAGACAGAAAGUAGAAUAAAAGUCACAGGAUGGGAGUCCCUGUUAUGGUUCAGUGGUUAACAAAUCCAACUGAGAACCAUGAGGUUGCGGGUUCGAUCCCUGGCUUCGCUCAGUGGGUUAAGGAUCCAGAAUUGCUGUGAGCCAUGUGUUGCUGUGAGCUGUGGUGUAGAUUGCAGACGCGGCUCAGAUCUGGCUUUGCUAGGGCUGUGGUGCAGGCCUGCAGCUACAUCUCUGAUUCAACCCCUAACCUGGGAACUUCCAUAUGCCACAGGAGCAACCCUAAAAAAAAAGAAAAAGAAAAAGAAAAAAAUGCAUGUGUGAGGUUCCAAUGUGUCUGCAUCUGUGUGUCUAUUGUAUGAGUGUGUGCUGGUUUUGAGAUUGUAGACUCUGCGUGUGUUACAGUUGGGGAGUUGUGUGAGCAUGGGUGGAAUGGGGGCACUUGUGUAUGGGCACAUUUGAGUGUAUGUAUCCCAGAGCUGGUCAAUCUCUGUCCUUGACUCUGUUCUGUUCUGAUAUCACCUCCUCUGGGAAGCCACCCUGACCUCUGUCACCAGCAUCCCUCAGUCUCCCCUGGUGCCCUCUGUGUCCCUGACACAACUCUAUCACCCCACCUGACACACUAACAGCCAGCAUUUCUGUCUGUCCCAAGUCUGGGCAGGAACCCUGAGUCAACAUGGGACAGGGCGCAUGGCAGGGGCUCCAUCCAAGCUUGUGUGUGUGUGUGUGUGUGUGUGUGUGUGUGUGUGUGUGUGUGUGAGUGAGAUAUGUCACAUAAGUGGCCUGUAUGUGUCUGAAGAUGUCGGGGUGUGUGUUUGCAGGGACGGAGAGGGGUAUCAUCUGACAAAGCCCAGUACCCCCAUUCUGUUUGGAUCCUGGGGGCCUGUAGUCCUUCUCCCAGAUUUCUCACCCAUAGGCCUCCUUCUCAGGGCUGCCCGACCCUGUGACAAAGUGCAGGCCCUCUCUCACGUGGUCACCGGUGGACCUAGGGUCAGCCAGAGUGCUAUUCCUCUUUGAUCUGAUUUCAGGUCAAAGCUCUGUCUCUUGGCUGGAUAGGACUGAAGCUACUUUGGGGCAGCUCUUCCUAUUGGCCACUUGGGACUUGGAUCUCUGGGAUUCUUUACCCCCCAACUGGUCCUGGAGUCAAUUUGAAAUUGUCAGACCAAACUUUAAAUAUCUCAUGUCCAACUCCAACCUGCAAGCACAAGGCCUGAGUCCCCAGCCUCUGAAGUCUAUUAUGUUCCCUCUGGUAACAACUUGUGUCCAUCUUUAUGUUCUGUCUUCUAUGCAUAGAUCCUAGGACCCCAAGCUCAUUCCCCCUUGGAAGUCCUUCCUAUGUCUAACUUAUUUCUUUUCCAGCUGGGGU
rnacentral:lncRNA from 1 species